AUUGAACGCUGGCGGCAUGCUUUACACAUGCAAGUCGAACGGCAGCGCGGGCUUCGGCCUGGCGGCGAGUGGCGAACGGGUGAGUAAUGCAUCGGAACGUGCCCAGUAGUGGGGGAUAGCCCGGCGAAAGCCGGAUUAAUACCGCAUACGACCUGAGGGUGAAAGCGGGGGACCGAAAGGCCUCGCGCUAUUGGAGCGGCCGAUGUCGGAUUAGCUAGUUGGUGGGGUAAAGGCUUACCAAGGCGACGAUCCGUAGCUGGUCUGAGAGGACAACCAGCCACACUGGGACUGAGACACGGCCCAGACUCCUACGGGAGGCAGCAGUGGGGAAUUUUGGACAAUGGGGGCAACCCUGAUCCAGCCAUGCCGCGUGCGGGAAGAAGGCCUUCGGGUUGUAAACCGCUUUUGUUCGGGAAGAAAUCCUCUGGGCUAAUACCCCGGGGGGAUGACGGUACCGGAAGAAUAAGCACCGGCUAACUACGUG
rnacentral:rRNA from 1 species